AGUGAACGCUGGCGGUAGGCCUAACACAUGCAAGUCGAACGGCAGCACAGUAAGAGCUUGCUCUUACGGGUGGCGAGUGGCGGACGGGUGAGGAAUACAUCGGAAUCUACUUUUUCGUGGGGGAUAACGUAGGGAAACUUACGCUAAUACCGCAUACGACCUACGGGUGAAAGCAGGGGAUCUUCGGACCUUGCGCGAUUGAAUGAGCCGAUGUCGGAUUAGCUAGUUGGCGGGGUAAAGGCCCACCAAGGCGACGAUCCGUAGCUGGUCUGAGAGGAUGAUCAGCCACACUUGAACUGAGACACGGUCCAGACUCCUACGGGAGGCAGCAGUGGGGAAUAUUGGACAAUGGGCGCAAGCCUAAUCCAGCCAUACCGCGUGAGUGAAGAAGGCCUUCGGGUUGUAAAGCCCUUUUGUUGGGAAAGAAAAGCAGCAGGUUAAUACCCCGCUGUUCUGACGGUACCCAAAGAAUAAGCACCGGCUAACUUCGUG
rnacentral:rRNA from 1 species